GACGAACGCUGGCGGCGUGGAUUAGGCAUGCAAGUCGAACGGUAUCAUCCUUUCGGGGGUGAGAGAGUGGCGAACUGGUGAGUAACACGUAGGUUAUCUACCCUCAAGACGGGGACAACCCAGGGAAACUUGGGCUAAUACCGGAUGUGAGCAACUUUUAGUUGUUUGAAAGGUGGCGUAAGCUGUCGCUUGGGGAUGAGCCUGCGUCCUAUUAGUUAGUUGGUGAGGUAACGGCUCACCUAGGCAAUGAUAGGUAGGCGGCCUUAACGGGUGGUCGCCCACACUGGGAUUGAGAUACGGCCCAGACUCCUACGGGAGGCAGCAGUCGAGAAUAGUCUACAAUGGUCGGAAGACUGAUAGUGCGACGCCGCGUGAACGAUGAAUCCCUUCGGGGUGUAAAGUCUUUUAUAUGUGAGCAGUGCUUCUUAUAUUAACAGUAUGGGGAGAGAGAUAUUAGCAUAUGAAUAAGCAACGGCUAACUCCGUGCCAGCAGCCGCGGUAAAACG
rnacentral:rRNA from 1 species